UACGAACCGUCCAAACGUUACUCGGAAUCACUGGGCUUAAAGGGUGCGUAGGCCGCGCGGAGGGUGGGAUGUGAAAUCCCCCGGCUCAACCGGGGAAUAGCGUCCCAAACCGCCGUGCUCGAGGGAGACAGAGGUGAGCGGAACUGAUGGUGGAGCGGUGAAAUGCGUUGAUAUCGUAAGGAACACCCGUGGCGAAAGCGGCUCACUGGGUCUUCUCUGACGCUGAUGCACGAAAGCUAGGGGAGCAAACGGG
rnacentral:rRNA from 1 species